rnacentral:tRNA from 1 species
GGAAGAAUAGCUCAGUGGUAGAGUGUGUGCUUAGUAUGCAUGAGGUCCUAGGUUCAAUCUCCAGUACAUCCA